rnacentral:lncRNA from 1 species
GGUCAUCACAGUGCCCCCAGCCAAGUGAGACCGCUGCCCUAGGGAAUGGGCAGGGCCAAUGCCUUUAUCCCAGAACACAGGAUCUGGUGCUUCUCCCAGGGAGCCGGUUGAGUACCUGCAGAAUUCAGGGGAGAGCCAGGAUUGGACUAGCCUGUGACAGCACUGCCUCUAUCUGCAGAUGUCCAGCCUGCCCCCAUGUCUCAAGGCAGCCUGCCUCCACUCAGGCAUGACCAAGAAGCAGCGGGAGUCUGUUCUGCAGAAGGUCAGGGUAUCCCAUGGGUGGGGGUCUGUGGGUAGUCAUCUGGGUAGUGCCCCUAACCCUGAUGCCUUCAGGUGCAGGCAGCCCAGGUGAAUGUGCUGAUGCUGUCCCCAGAGGCACUGGUUGGGGCUGGGACUGGCGGCCCUGCCAGCUUCCUCCAGGCCUCCCAGCUGCCCCCCGUGGCCUUUGCUUGCAUUGAUGAGGCCCACUGCCUCUCUCAGUGGUCAUACAAUUUCCGGCCUUGCUACCUGCGCAUCUGCAAAGUGAGUCAAGGGGGGGUCAGGGUGGGUGGUGGAUGGAUAAGGGCCCCAUGGGCUGGGUGGCCUCACCAUCACCCUUCCCUUCUGAUGCAGGUACUUCGGGAGCGCAUGGGUGUACGCUGUUUCCUGGGUCUCACAGCCACAGCCACACGCAGGACUGCUCGUGAUGUAGCCCAGCACCUGGGUGUAGCCGAGGAGCUUGGCCGGGGUGGGCCAGCCCCCAUCCCUGCCAACUUGCACCUGUCUGUGUCUGUAGACAGGAACCCACACCAGGUAGGUGUGCACAUAGCAGGGUCCUGGGCAGAGAGCCCACAUCCUGCCUGGCCAGUGACCACUGCUCCCUGCCAGGCUCUGGUGACGCUGCUGCAGGGUGACCGCUUUCGUGCCCUGGAUUCAAUCAUCAUUUACUGCAACCGACGGGAGGACACAGAGCGAGUUGCUGCACUUCUCCGAACCUGCCUGUGUGCAGGGCAGGACCCAGGCUCUAGAGGUAGGGCACCACAGGGUAGGCCCCAGGGCCACCCCGUGUGCCAGCCCUGAUGCCACCAGCCAUCUCUCCAUCUUCCCCAAGGUCAUGCCCCAGAGACUGUAGCUGCAGCUUAUCAUGCUGGCAUGUGCACCCGGGAGCGGCAGCGAGUGCAGCGGGCCUUCAUGCAAGGCCAUCUCCGGGUGGUGGUGGCCACCGUGGCCUUUGGCAUGGGACUAGACAGGACAGAUGUGCGGGCCGUGCUGCACCUGGGGAUGCCCCCAAGCUUUGAGAGCUAUGUGCAGGCUGUGGGCCGCGCUGGACGUGAUGGGCAGCCUGCCCAUUGCCACCUCUUCCUGCAGCCUCAGGUUGGCACCCUGCCAUCCCUCACACCAGGCCAGCCCCUGGUGCCCUGGCCACACACAGACUCAUAGCUCUGCUUCUACAGGGCAAGGACCUGCAGGAGCUGCGUAGACAUGUGCACGCCAACGGUGCCGAUUUCUUGGCCCUGAAAAAGCUGGCACAACGCCUGUUUCCACCCUGCUCCUGUACGCCACAGCCUCCAGAGCAGGAAGGAGGCAGGAAUGGGAUGAGGCCCGCAGCUGGGGCCCCCCUGCAGGAGGCCAAGCAGCACAGUGGCCACUCAGCUGCCCCAGUGCGGGGACAGGUCUGCCCUGGCCAUGCCCGAGCACUCCCAAUACAGCACAUAGUGCAGGCCCUGGACAUGCCAGAAGAGGGUAAGGGCCGGGAAGACGGGGGAGGGGGGCUGUCCCCACACCACCUGAGCCCACUCCCCCCUACAGCCAUUGAGACCCUGCUGUGCUACCUGGAGCUGCAUCCCCGGCACUGGCUGGAGCUGCUGCCAACCACCUAUUCCCGCUGUCACCUGCGCUGCCCUGGGGGCCCCACCCAGCUCCAGGCCCUGGCCCACAAGUGAGUACACAGCACCCUGGGUCAGGGAUAUGGACAGAGGGCCAGGGAUGCUAGUCACAUGCCCCUUUCCUCUGGAGCACAGGUGUCCUCUUGCAGCUGCAUGCUGGGCCAGGUGGCCACCUGAGGACAUGGGGCCAGGCAGCAGCUCCAUGGAAUUUGAUGUGGUAGAGCUGGUGAACUCGAUGGGCUGGGAGCUGGCAUCUGUGCAGCAGGCUCUCCGUCAGCUGCAGUGGGACCCAGAGCCCAGGACAGGUGUGCUUGCCCCUACUCCCCCACCCGACUGCCGGCCACCCAUCCACCCUCCCACCCAUCCACCCUACACCUGAUACACUCUGGCAGGUGUGCUGCAGGGAACAGGGGUGAUUGUGGAGUUCAGGGAGCUGGCGUUCCACCUGCGCAGCCCUGGUGAUCUGACUGCUGAGGAGAGGGACGAGGUAUGCGACUUUCUGUUCAACCGUGUGCAGGCCCAAGAGCGCAAGGCCCUGGCACAUCUGCGCCGAAUGUCUGAGGCCUUUCACAGGUAGGAAGUGGGUGGGCAGGUGCUGGGACCAUCCACUCUGUGCCCAUGGGCAGUCUUGAUAGGCUCCUCUCACCCCUGCACCCCAGUGUGGCCUUCCCCAGCUGUGGGCCCUGCCUCGAGCAGCCUGACAUGGAUCGCAGUGCCCAGCUGAAGGCCCUCCUCAGCUGCUACUUCGAGGAAGAGGAAAAGGAAGAGGGAGGGAUAGAGGACCAGGGCCCAGAGCCUGGGCAGGUCCAGGUGAGCGUAGCCCCUCUGGGGUGAUCUCCAAAGCCAAGGGUGGUGCCACACCCAUAUCCCUGAUUUGGACAGUUCACACCCCCUACCUAGCCUGUCCACAGGCUUCCUCAGCUGCCAGGCUUGCCUAUGUUGGAUGUGGUUCUCUGGAAGCUCAGGGAAGUCUGAUGUGCUUGUCCACCCACAGCUUCAGGACUGGGAGGACCAGGUCCGCCAUGACAUCCGCCAGCUCCUGUCCCUGAGGCCAGAAGAGAGGUUUUCCAGCAGGGCCGUGGCUCGUAUCUUUCAUGGCAUUGGUGAGGGCUCCAGGGGCUGCCUGAUGCAGACAGGGCUAGGGACAGGAACCAGCCCACCUUAGGUCUGUGUCUUUCUGCUCCACCACAGGAAGCCCUCGAUACCCAGCCCAGGUAUAUGGGCAGGACCAGCGCUUCUGGAGAAAGUACCUACAUCUGAGUUUCCAGGCCCUGAUGCGCCUGGCCACAGAGGAGCUCCUACUGGUUGGCCGAUGACUGACUGCCCUGCUCACAAGGCUGCUGCCCCCAUGUAGGACAGGUGGACACAUGGCCACUCCUCAAGGCAGCAGUGCAGCUGCCAAUGCUCAACACAGUACUGAAGUCUGCCAGCAACUGGAUUGUGACAAAGGGGUUCCAAAAUGCAGAAUAAAAGGGGUCUGAGUUGUUUUCAUGGG